rnacentral:misc_RNA from 1 species
AAUGAAGCUCAGCUUGAGUUACCUUAUUGCACAAACCAAAUUGUCAAGGAAAAAUUAAAGAGUUAACAUCAUUGUUUGCUCUGAAAUGGUGAAGAUGAUCACAAGUAAACAUAGUUCCAGAGUGGCAAGACAACAUGAAACAGAAUUCAUAAAUUUUAUGAAAACAUUACAGGAAUUGUCAUAGAUUAAAAAGAAGACCAAGAAAACCUAUCAGAAACAAAAUGAGAAGUUGCUAAAUAGUGAGCACUUGCAUGCAUCUGCAGAAAUUGCGAACGGCCUCAAGGUCAUUUCUGAUGCAAAGCAUGUUCAUGUGGAAGCUUUUUUUUUUUUUUAUUAAUUUUUCCUAUUCAGUUUCUAUGCUUCCUAUUUUAAUUAGGUUUCUUGUUUUAGUUUACUAUUCCAUCUAGGACUUAGUUUCCUGUUCUAUUUAGGAUUUUAAUAUAUUCUCCUAUUCUAGUUAGGAUUUGUUUCCUCCUAUUUUAAUUAGGAUUUAAUUCUUUCCCAUUUAGUUUAGGAUUCCUAAUGUAUUUUAGCUUAUCUAAAUUUCCUAAACAGUAGGUAUAUAUUCCUAUUUAGUUUAGGAGGCUUAAAUACUCCAUAAAUACCCCUAAAAUUCUAUGUAAUUUAGUUUAGUUUUCAGAUGGUAAAAAUCCAGCAGAGGAUAUCUCACUCUUGUGUGUGAGUGUGACUUCUUUCCUUAAGCUUCCCGCUGCGUCAAUUUCAGUGGAGCAUCCAAUAAAGAAAGCUCCCAUCAGAGCUCUUAAGGAUGUUUCUUGACUUAAUUUCGCAAAUAGUUAUACCAAUGAGAACUGACUCACAGUUCACUAGUUGAGACAUUUGAUCCAACUACGACUAUAUCUCAAAAAAACAACAGAAAAUAUUACAGAAAUUUUAUUAACAAAAAAGCCCACUACGCGUUUACAUUUAAGGGGAACUCAUUAUUGAAAAAUUUUCUUCUAAAAUACUUUAAUUAUGAUUUAAAAUUUGAAAAAAAUACAAACAGAUAGCAUAAUCCUAUGGUCUUAUAAGAGGUUACUAACCUACCAUUCAUCUUGGAAACCGAUAUGGAAAUCAAAGUUCGCUCUUAUCAUUAAAUGUAUGUGCAAAGCACAAAGCAGUAGCAUAACCAUAUAGAUUCCUUUAUUCUACAUUCUUCAAUUACCUCAUGGGAAAGAUUACCAA